AUCGCUACGGUAAUCAGGUCACAAGGUCACUACCGGCUAGACGGUGUCGGUAGUAUCAUGUAGGCCUAAUAGUUCGUGAUAGAUCUAGUCAUUCGCUAAUGAUAUGAAAACUCUGGAUCUAUAUUAUUACAGAUAUUUAUCUGAAAUCCACGCAUUUUCAAUAACAGUAGCUAGAUGGGUAUACCGCUAGAUGUUUAUGAAGAGUAGUGUGUAGCCUAACAUAUGCUCGCCCCUCCUCCUUUCACAUUCUGGACUUGGAACCAGACAACGGAGGAGUUACCGGCAUUUUAACUAAAAUGUAACUGU